CCCUUAGAUGUUCUGGGCCACACGCGCGUUACACUGAUGAAGCCAGCGAGUAUAUCGCCUUCACUGGAAGGUGCGGGUAAUCUUGUGAAACUUCAUCGUGCUGGGGAUAGACCAUUGCAAUUAUUGGUCUUGAACGAGGAAUUCCUAGUAAGCAUGAGUCAUCAACUCGUGCUGAUUACGUCCCUGCCCUUUGUACACACCGCCCGUCGCUACUACCGAUUGAAUGGUUUAGUGAGAUCUCGGGAUUGGAGACGUUGCGCCGCAAGGCACAUCGUCCUCGAGAACUUGAUCAAACUUGAUCAUUUAGAGGAAGUAAAAGUCGUAACA
rnacentral:rRNA from 1 species